rnacentral:lncRNA from 7 species
AUGUGGGGUUGGGGGCCGCCGCGGCUCCGCAGGUGGGAGGUGGGCACUUCUUGGGGUGAGUGCUGCGGUGUAGGGGCAGCUCUGAGGUUGUGGAGUCCGUGGGGUGGGGGGAUUUGGGGUGGUUGGGAUGGGUUGGGGAGGGGUUUGGGGUGGGGGCUGCUGUGGUGUUAUGGGUGGGGGACCCUCAGCCUAUGGCUUUGGGGUGGGGAGUGGGAUUUGGGGUGGGGUCUUCUAUGGUGCUCUGAUGGGUUAUCCUCACCCCAUGGCUUUGGAGCCAACGCAAUCAUUGGGACUUGGAUGGGGAGUGGGAUUUGGGGUGGGGUCUGCUGUGGUGUUAUGGGUGGGGGACCCCAUUGCCGGACCCCCAUGUGGGGUUGGGGGCCGCUGCGGCUCCGCAGGUGGGAGGUGGGCACUUCUUGGGGUGAGUGGUGCGGUGUAGGGGCGGCUCUGUGGUUGUGGAGUCCGUGGGGUGGGAUUUGGGGUGGGGGGAUUUGGGGUGGGGGCUGCUCUGGUGCUAUGGGUGGGGGACCCUCAGCCUAUGGAUUUUGGGUGGGGAGUGGGAUUUGGGGUGGGGUCUUCUAUGGUGCUAUGGUGGGUUAUCCUCACCCUAUAGCUUUGGAGCCGAUGCAGUGGUUGGGAUUUGGAUGGGGAGUGGGAUUUGGGGUGGGGGCUGCUGUGGUGUUAUGGGUCAGGGAUCCUCAGCCCAUGGAUUUGGGGUGGGGAGUGGGAUUUGGGGUGGCGGCUGCUGUGGUCUUAUGGUUUGGGGACCCUCACCCCAUGGCUUUGGGGCCCACGCAGUGUAUGGCGGUCAGGGCUGCAUCAGCCAUCUCUGAGCAUCUCCUCUGUGGGGUCUGUGGGGUUUGUGGGGUCUGUGGGGUCUGUGGGGUCUGUGGGGUCUGUGGGGUCGGCCCCACUGCCCCCCGAGUGGCCGUAGUGGGGAGCGGUGGGGGGGAGCUGUGAGUGGGGGGGCUGUGUGGGCACGUGGGGCUGUGGGGCUGCUGCCCCACUGCACAGACAUCGGCUGUGGGGUCACCCCAUGGGGACAGCCCUGAGCCAUCCAUGGGGACACCCCAACCCCUCUAUGGGGACAGCCCUGAGCCACCCCCCCAUGGAUGAGUCCCUAUGUCCCUUUAUGGGUCCCUAUGGGUCCAUAUAUGUCCCUAUAUGUCCCUCUAUGGAUCCCUAUUGUCCCUAUGUGUCCCCCUAUGGGUCCAUAUAUGUCCCUAUGUGUCCCUAUGUAUCCCUACAUGUCCCUAUGGUCCCUACGUGUCCCUAUGGUCCCUGUGUGUCCCUAUGGGUCCCUAUGUCCCUCUAUGGGUCCCUACAUGUCCCUAUGGUCCCUAUGUGUCCCUAUGAGUCCCUAUGUCCCUCUAUGUGUCCCUAUGUGUCCAUAUAUGUCCCUAUGUGUCCCCCUAUGGGUCCAUAUAUGUCCCUAUGUGUCCCUAUGGUCCCUA